rnacentral:rRNA from 1 species
GACGAACGCUGGCGGCGUGCUUAACACAUGCAAGUCGAGCGAUGAAGCACCUUCGGGUGUGAAUUAGCGGCGGACGGGUGAGUAACACGUGAGAAUUUGCCUUUAGGAGGGGGACAACAAUCGGAAACGAAUGCUAAUACCCCAUAUGCUUUCGAGUGAAAUGGAUUUUAUCCGCCUAGAGAGAAGCUCGCGGCUGAUUAGCUUGUUGGUAAGGUAAGAGCUUACCAAGGCGACGAUCAGUAUCUGGUUUGAGAGGAUGAUCAGCCACACUGGGACUGAGACACGGCCCAGACUCCUACGGGAGGCAGCAGUGGGGAAUAUUGGGCAAUGGAGGAAACUCUGACCCAGCGACGCCGCGUGAGGGAUGAAGGCCUUCGGGUUGUAAACCUCUUUCAGUAGGGAAGAAGCGAAAGUGACGGUACCUACAGAAGAAGCACCGGCUAACUAUGUG